AGUGAACGCUGGCGGUAGGCCUAACGCAUGCAAGUCGAACGGCAGCACAGUAAGAGCUUGCUCUUACGGGUGGCGAGUGGCGGACGGGUGAGGAAUACAUCGGAAUCUACUUUUUCGUGGGGGAUAACGUAGGGAAACUUACGCUAAUACCGCAUACGACCUACGGGUGAAAGCAGGGGAUCUUCGGACCUUGCGCGAUUGAAUGAGCCGAUGUCGGAUUAGCUAGUUGGCGGGGUAAAGGCCCACCAAGGCGACGAUCCGUAGCUGGUCUGAGAGGAUGAUCAGCCACACUGGAACUGAGACACGGUCCAGACUCCUACGGGAGGCAGCAGUGGGGAAUAUUGGACAAUGGGCGCAAGCCUGAUCCAGCCAUACCGCGUGGGUGAAGGAGGCCUUCGGGUUGUAAAGCCCUUUUGUUGGGAAAGAAAAGCAGCAGGUUAAUACCCCGCUGUUCUGACGGUACCCAAAGAAUAAGCACCGGCUAACUUCGUG
rnacentral:rRNA from 1 species